rnacentral:tRNA from 1 species
GUGGCUGUAGCUCAGUUGGUCAGAGCAUCGGUUUGUGGUACCGAGGGUCGUGGGUUCAAGUCCCAUCAGCCACCCCA